UUAACAAUGAUUUAUAUAAUAUUGUAUGUAGCAACACUGCGUUGGUUGUGACACUGUGUCAACUGUCAGUUAUGAAGGAAGUUUUUAUAUAGUCUGUAAUCUGCAAGAUGUAAGAGGUUCCCCAUGUUGUUGUGUGAUUAAUAAAGGCACGCUUCAAUGAU